UACGGGGGGGGCAAGCGUUGUUCGGAAUUACUGGGCGUAAAGGGCUCGUAGGUGGCCAACUAAGUCAGACGUGAAAUCCCUCGGCUUAACCGGGGAACUGCGUCUGAUACUGGUUGGCUUGAGUUUGGGAGAGGGAUGCGGAAUUCCAGGUGUAGCGGUGAAAUGCGUAGAUAUCUGGAGGAACACCGGUGGCGAAGGCGGCAUCCUGGACCAACACUGACGCUGAGGAGCGAAAGCCAGGGGAGCAAACGGG
rnacentral:rRNA from 1 species